UUCAAUAGCACAUAUGCUGAACCGUAGUGCGUGAAAUAUUGAUGGUGCAUAUAUUAGAAAAAGGAGACCUUUAGAAAUUGAAACAGUAACGUUUAAACAAAAGAUUGUCUGCUCUUGGGAACAAUCUGCCAUGCAUACUUUACGUAGAUCGCAUGUUACGCACUCGUGGGCUUAGCAAAGUGCUCCAGGAUUCAAAUUAUAACAAUGGUUGAUUUCUAAAGGUCUCCUUUUGCUA